GGCGAGAAGGUCACACCCGUUUCCAUACCGAACACGGAAGUUAAGCUUCUCAGCGCCGAUGGUAGUUGGGGGUUUCCCCCUGUGAGAGUAGGACGCCGCCGGGC
rnacentral:rRNA from 1 species